rnacentral:rRNA from 1 species
CUCCUACGGGAGGCAGCAGUAGGGAAUUGUUCGCAAUGGGCGCAAGCCUGACGACGCAACGCCGCGUGGAGGAUGAAGACUUUCGGGUCGUAAACUCCUUUCGACCGAGAUGAAUACUCUCUGACCUAAUACGUUUGAGAGCUGACAGUAUCGAGGGAAGAAGCCCCGGCUAACUCCGUGCCAGCAGCCGCGGUAAUACGGGGGGGGCAAGCGUUGUUCGGAAUUACUGGGCGUAAAGGGUUCGUAGGUGGCUUUCUAAGUCAGACGUGAAAUCCCUCAGCUUAACUGGGGAACUGCGUCUGAGACUGGCGAGCUUGAGUGCAGGAGAGGAACGCGGAAUUCCAGGUGUAGCGGUGAAAUGCGUAGAUAUCUGGAGGAACACCGGUGGCGAAGGCGGCGUUCUGGACUGUUACUGACACUGAGGAACGAAAGCCAGGGGAGCAAACGGGAUUAGAUACCCCGGUAGUCCUGGCCCUAAACGAUGAAUGCUUGGUGUGGCGGGUAUCGAUCCCUGCCGUGCCGAAGUUAACGCGUUAAGC